UAUCUGGGGUGUAGAUGCCCAGAACCAAGAUCCCAGAACACAGUACUUUUUCAGGUUUAUCAGUCCCUCUGUUCAAGGAAGACGAAACGUAAAGUACACUCUCAACAAAUUAUCUUGGCAAUAUUUUGUUGACUUAUUAUUUUAAAGAUAUGCCAGUGUGUGACUUUUACUUUGUGGCAGCAUUGUUCCAAGGCACCAACCCAUCAAGAAACCCAGCCACAGAAGUCUUCUUUUAGGUGAAUUACAUCAGUCUCAGGAUUCCUCUCAGCAAUUCAGAAGAAUGUGGGGAGGAUUGAGGCAUUCGGAUCCCACUUAUGCAUUUAUAAUCUUGGACCUCACAGAAAGUUAAAGAAGAUGCUUCUUGAUUCCAGCUUCUAUUUAUCUCUCUGGACAAGCCGGUGGCAAUGCUGAGGGCUGGCCACCUUGUACAAGUAAUCACAGGCCCACAAGCCUCUUGGAGAAUGAGUCUUUGUCUUUUGCCAUUCUGUGGU